UACGGAGGGUGCGAGCGUUAAUCGGAAUUAUUGGGCGUAAAGGGUGCGUAGGUUGUUUGAUAAGAUAUAGGUAAAAUUCCUGGGCUUAACCUGGGACUGUCCUAUAAGACUGUUAGACUAUGAGUAUGGGAGAGGGUAGAGGAAUUUCCGGUGUAGCGGUGAAAUGCGUAGAUAUCGGAAGGAACAUCGGUGGCGAAGGCGUCUACCUGGCCUAAUACUGACACUGAGGCACGAAAGCGUGGGGAGCAAACAGG
rnacentral:rRNA from 1 species